GACGAACGCUGGCGGCGUGCUUAACACAUGCAAGUCGAACGGAAAGGCCCUGCUUUCAGUGUACUCGAGUGGCGAACGGGUGAGUAACACAUGGGUGAUCUGCCCUGCACUUCGGGAUAAGCCUGGUAAACUGGGUCUAAUACCGGAUAGGAGCCAUCUUUAGUGUGAUGGUUGGAAAGUUUUUUCGGUGUUGGAUGAGCUCGCGGCCUAUCGGCUCGUUGGGGGGGUAAUGGCCUACCAAGGCGGCGACGGGUAGCCGGACUGAGAGGGUGGACGGCCACAUUGGGACUGAGAGAAGGCACAGACGCCGACGGGAGGCAGAAGGGGGGAAGAUUGAACAAGGGGCGCCAGCCUGAUGAAGAGAGGCCGCGGGGGGGAUGACGGCCUUCGGGGUGUAAAAUCAUUUCGCUAGGGACGAAGCUUUUUGUGACGGUACCUAGAUAAGAAGCACCGGCUAACUACGUG
rnacentral:rRNA from 1 species